GAUGAACGCUGGCGGCGUGCCUAAUACAUGCCAGUCGAGCGAACAGACGAGGAGCUUGCUCCUCUGACGUUAGCGGCGGACGGGUGAGUAACACGUGGAUAACCUACCUAUAAGACUGGGAUAACUUCGGGAAACCGGAGCUAAUACCGGAUAAUAUAUUGAACCGCAUGGUUCAAUAGUGAAAGACGGUUUUGCUGUCACUUAUAGAUGGAUCCGCGCCGCAUUAGCUAGUUGGUAAGGUAACGGCUUACCAAGGCAACGAUGCGUAGCCGACCUGAGAGGGUGAUCGGCCACACUGGAACUGAGACACGGUCCAGACUCCUACGGGAGGCAGCAGUAGGGAAUCUUCCGCAAUGGGCGAAAGCCUGACGGAGCAACGCCGCGUGAGUGAUGAAGGUCUUCGGAUCGUAAAACUCUGUUAUUAGGGAAGAACAAAUGUGUAAUUAACUAUGCACGUCUUGACGGUACCUAAUCAGAAAGCCACGGCUAACUACGUG
rnacentral:rRNA from 1 species